AUUGAACGCUGGCGGCAUGCUUUACACAUGCGAGUCGAACGGCAGCGCGGGCUUCGGCCUGGCGGCGAGUGGCGAACGGGUGAGUAAUGCAUCGGAACGUGCCCAGUAGUGGGGGAUAGCCCGGCGAAAGCCGGAUUAAUACCGCAUACGACCUGAGGGUGAAAGCGGGGGACCGAAAGGCCUCGCGCUAUUGGAGCGGCCGAUGUCGGAUUAGCUAGUUGGUGGGGUAAAGGCUUACCAAGGCGACUAUCCGUAGCUGGUCUGAGAGGACGACCAGCCACACUGGGACUGAGACACGGCCCAGACUCCUACGGGAGGCAGCAGUGGGGAAUUUUGGACAAUGGGGGCAACCCUGAUCCAGCCAUGCCGCGUGCGGGAAGAAGGCCUUCGGGUUGUAAACCGCUUUUGUUCGGGAAGAAAUCCUCUGGGCUAAUACCCCGGGGGGAUGACGGUACCGGAAGAAUAAGCACCGGCUAACUACGUG
rnacentral:rRNA from 1 species